rfam:Volvox carteri f. nagariensis unplaced genomic scaffold VOLCAscaffold_729, whole genome shotgun sequence.
GGGGUCGUAGCUCAAAUGGUAGAGCGCCCGCUUAGCAUGCGAUGCUGAGCGCCGCAGAUGAUAUGCGGGAGGUAGGGGGAUCGAUGCCCUCCGACUCCA